GGCGCAGGCGGUUCUUUAAGUCGGAUGUAAAAUCUCCCGGCUCAACUGGGAGGGACCAUUCGAUACUGGGGGACUGGAGUACAGCAGAGGAAGGCGGAAUUCCCGGUGUAGUGGUGAAAUGCGUAGAUAUCGGGAGGAACACCAGUGGCGAAGGCGGCCUUCUGGGCUGUUACUGACGCUGAGGCCCGAAAGCGUGGGGAGCGAACAGGAUUAGGUACCCUGGUAGUCC
rnacentral:rRNA from 1 species